rnacentral:rRNA from 1 species
UACAGAGGGGGCAAGCGUUGUUCGGAAUUACUGGGCGUAAAGGGCGCGUAGGCGGCCCGCUAAGUCGAACGUGAAAUCCCCGGGCUCAACCCGGGAACUGCGUCUGAUACUGGAUGGCUUGAGUUCGGGAGAGGGAUGCGGAAUUCCAGGUAUAGCGGUGAAAUGCGUAGAUAUCUGGAGGAACACCGGUGGCGAAGGCGGCAUCCUGGACCGAUACUGACGCUGAGGAGCGAAAGCCAGGGGAGCAAACGGG